rnacentral:rRNA from 1 species
GUGUCAGCAGCCGCGGUAAGACAGAGGGUGCAAGCGUUGUUCGGAAUUAUUGGGCGUAAAGGGCGCGUAGGCGGCCGCAUAAGUCAGGUGUGAAAGCCCGGGGCCCAACCCCGGAAGUGCGCCUGAUACUGUGUGGCUUGAAUCCCGGAGAGGGUGGUGGAAUUCCCAGUGUAGAGGUGAAAUUCGUAGAUAUUGGGAGGAAUACCGGUGGCGAAGGCGACCACCUGGACGGUGAUUGACGCUGAGGCGCGAAAGCGUGGGGAGCAAACAGGAUUAGAUACCCGAGUAGUCC